rnacentral:lncRNA from 1 species
ACAUAAUUGACCGGUGGGGCGAAAACGAAUAAGAUACACAUGUCAAAUUAGUUUGAGUUGAUAGGCACCAUAAGCAAAACCAGUAUCCGCAUACAUGUGAGUGUUCACUUUGUGCAAGGUGUGGGCUAACAUGCAGAUCGGAACCCUCAACUUUCUGAAUUACAUUCAGAGAGUGAACAUACAUGUAGACUGGAGUCUUUACCUGAUACGGAUCUAACUCGAGUCCCGGCAUUAGAAGAAAAUUACUAUGCCUAUGAAAUAUCUAAUUCUACCAUUUCUUCCGGAUCAUCAGCUCCUAAAUGGCCAAGUGCAUCAGCUUGAUAUUUCCUUGUUCACAAAUUACUUCAUAAAAAAUGCACAUACAUAAGAAUUUGAUCUUUGAAUUGUCUCUGUAAGGUAUCACUGCUUCUUAAUGAAGAUAGCCAGCAAGAUAAUGGGGGGAAUAAACAGAUCAUUUCAAAAGGAGAAGCAACCUACCAAGGGCUAACAAUGCAACACUCUGAAUGAGCAAAUUCAUGUUAAAACUUAAAUCCUACUACAUUACAAUCUACCUGGACCAAGAAUACAAAUUAGUCUAGCUAAAGUCUUUUUAAACCUUAUUAAUGUUUCCCCUGAUUGAGCGUACUCCUUGUGAAAAAAACUGCAUAAGAAAUUAUUCACUGGAAAUAUUAGUUUUAGUACUGUAUAUUAUGUACAGAUGGACAUCUACACACAAACAGGACAUGAGUAAAUCCUAACUACACCACCAGUGGUGCAUAUUAAUAAACUGGAUAUCAAGAAAGCUAAAAGGAUUAUCAAGAACACCGUAUAACAAUCAGAGGAAUUCCAAAUUAAGCUAUUACUUAUUUAAGAAGGGACUAAGCUGGAAAGAGGAAAGAAAAUACAGCAAUGAAAAUUCAAGCUUAUCUUCAACACUGAUGAAAAAAAAAUACAACUAGACUAUCUUGCAUACUGUCAAGCUAACAGUAUAUGAGUUCGCACAAUCCUCACCUCUAACAUUGAAGGAAGGUGAAGCAUGAUGUAUGAGGGCUCAUCAAAGUAGGAUUCAUCCUCUUCAUGUCUACUCAGCAGUGACCUUGGCUUGGAAUACUUCCUCAUUGAUAAAAUUGUUGAUGCCCAUAAGCUCUAAUGUGGUUUCCAAAAAGAAAUACCCGCUCCAGACACUACUGUCAGCAAUGAACCAUGCGUUUAGUCGAUGCGAGAGUAAAUCCCUAAAAUGUCGAGCAUUGUUGGUCCAAAGGUUAUAUCACCGAUAAUCAGGCACACUUGAAGAGAAGCCCACUUAAUAUUUAGAGGGAUAAUAUGAACAGAAAUCAAACAAAGCAUUGUAUUUGUUCCCUGAUCAUGAUGCUUCAUAAAGCAUUGGGAACCCAACCAAACAUGUGCCUGCUCUUGAAACCAAGAAUGCACAAAAGAUAUUCGGAAUUAAGCACCUUUUUUUCUAUAACAUGGCAUAUAGUGCUAAAGAACGUUGAUUUGCAUUUGGUUAAGUAUGAAAUACAACACAAUUUUCGCAUCGGUUCAAGAAUGUAUAUACUUCUAAAAUACAUGAAUAAAAGCAAUUUCCUUCUAUAACAAGGGUCCUUUGGUUUGAAGUAGAGAAGCAUAUGAAUUUUAUGCUAGUGCCUGUGAGGAUAGGCGAUGGGCUUGCAGGCGCAAGGCAAGGAUCCAAAUACCUUGGAGUAUUGUGCUGAUAGCUGGGUCGCCGAGAUAGAUGCCCUGCUCUGGCCACAUACUACUAUCCCUGCCAGGAUCUGGGCGACCACAGGCCACAGUAAGCUAGAUAGCAAGAGAGGUGGCAGGCUGACUGGACGAAAAUACACAUUUACAUUGCAGUUGAUAAUCACUGAAAGCCGCAAUGCUGAUAUAGUUUUUUCGGUUUUUGUGAUUUGUGUGAGUGCACUAUUUGCUAAUCUUUCUUUCUGUUUAUCAGUUCACCACAAUGUUGAUAUAGUUUUUUUUUGUUCUAAUUUACACAAAAUUUAGCUGCUUGAAUAGGUGAAGAAUUCUUGUAAAAAAAGGCAACAUACUUGCAUUCCAAAUUAAGAAAAACCAAGAAAUGAACAGUUGCUCAAGCUAAGCUCCGAAUCGGAACUCCAUGGAGUUUUCUUCAAGCAGAAGUGGCUAUUCUUAUGCGGUUUUUAGCCCUUCCUAUGAAUCCCUAAUAAAUGUUUGAAAACCAUUCAAUGGAAACAACCAGAAGGUACAAACACUGACCGUACCAAAGAAAAACUGGGAUCAGGUGCACCUCGGCAAGAAGUUUUUUAUUCUCUGUUUUAUACAUAGAAAUCAAAGACAAAAGUACUAUUCUUGGAACAAAACUAAUGAAAAACCUGGCUGCGAAAUCAAAUAUUUACAUCCCAUUAAUUAUGCUAUCUAAUCUAAGAAGGAUAAUCUAAUCUAAAUAUAUGUUUGUAAUUAAUUACAUAGUUAUAAAAAAACAUGACACCAACAGAACAGACCCAUAUGAUUCUUAAAGAAUAACCCAGAAGACACCAACGCAUGCCAGACAAAGGGAUGAACACAUAAGAAUAAUAGAUAAAUAAACACAUGACAAGCAAGAGUAAAUAGAGCAAGAUAUGGGUUAACUUGGGAACCAAGCAGCAAGAGCAGCGUCCAGCAGGCUCCAGAGAUGCUCGGAGACCCAAAGUCAUCAACAAACUGGAAGAAGAAAUCAAAUAGAAGGUUGAAAAAAAUAGUGUAUAUAUAGCAGAUGUUGAUCU